rnacentral:rRNA from 1 species
UACGUAGGGUGCAAGCGUUGUCCGGAAUUAUUGGGCGUAAAGAGCUUGUAGGCGGUUUGUCGCGUCUGCUGUGAAAUUUCGGGGCUCAACCCCGAACUUGCAGUGGGUACGGGCAGACUAGAGUGUGGUAGGGGAGACUGGAAUUCCUGGUGUAGCGGUGAAAUGCGCAGAUAUCAGGAGGAACACCGAUGGCGAAGGCAGGUCUCUGGGCCACUACUGACGCUGAGAAGCGAAAGCAUGGGUAGCAAACAGG